rnacentral:misc_RNA from 1 species
AGCCUAAAGCCUCCGAGGCCUGUAUUAAAAAGAAUAUCGAGAAAGAACUCGAGGAAUCGAGUCAAGGCCAAGGGCGACUCGCUUGAGAUUUAGGGACUGGAGGAGCAGCAUACUGAGCUACUGAGGAUUGAGGAUCUAUCAGCUUGAAGUUAUCGGGUAUAAUUUAUACCCUGACUGUAAAUAUUUAUUUUGAUGUAUGUAAUGCACAGAAAUAUAUGGACAUGUGAAGAUAGGUUUUGAGCAGCUUGUACAAAAUCUGUAUAAAAUUUGUAAUAAACUUUAGUUUGGAUUUUCUUAAUGUAAAUUUUUGUAUGACAUAUACAUAAAUUGUUUAUCUUUGAAGAAAUAUGAAUGUAUGAAAUUGAUUGACUGUACCUUGGGG